rnacentral:rRNA from 1 species
GCCUACGGGGGGCAGCAGUAGGGAAUUUUCGUCAAUGGGCGCAAGCCUGAACGAGCAAUGCCGCGUGAACGAGGAAGGUCUUCGGAUCGUAAAGUUCUGUUGAAGGGGAAAAAGAGCGGAGAGAGGAAAUGGUCUCCGCUUGAUAUUACCCUUCGAGGAAGUCACGGCUAACUACGUGCCAGCAGCCGCGGUAAUACGUAGGUGGCGAGCGUUAUCCGGAAUGAUUGGGCGUAAAGGGUGCGUAGGCGGCCUGCUAAGUCUGGAGUGAAAGGUACCGGCUCAACCGGUACAGGCUCUGGAAACUG